rnacentral:tRNA from 1 species
GCCCCGGUGGCUUAGCUGGUAUAGCGGCGGACUUGUAAUCCGCAGGCCACGGGUUCAAAUCCCGUCCGGGGCU